rnacentral:rRNA from 1 species
GCGGAGGAAAAGAAACCAACAGGGAUUGCCUCAGUAACGGCGAGUGAAGCGGCAACAGCUCAAAUUUGAAAUCUGGCUCUUUCAGGGUCCGAGUUGUAAUUUGUAGAAGAUGCUUUGGGUGUGGCUCCGGUCUAAGUUCCUUGGAACAGGACGUCGUAGAGGGUGAGAAUCCCGUAUGUGACCGGCUGCCUCCGCCCGUGUAAAGCUCUUUCGACGAGUCGAGUUGUUUGGGAAUGCAGCUCAAAAUGGGUGGUAAAUUUCAUCUAAAGCUAAAUAUUGGCCAGAGACCGAUAGCGCACAAGUAGAGUGAUCGAAAGAUGAAAAGCACUUUGGAAAGAGAGUUAAACAGUACGUGAAAUUGUUGAAAGGGAAGCGCUUGCAAUCAGACUUGCGCGCGGCCGAUCAUCCGAGGUUCUCCCCGGUGCACUCGACCGCGCUCAGGCCAGCAUCGGUUUCGGUGGUGGGAUAAAGGCCGUGGGAAUGUGGCUCCUCUCGGGGAGUGUUAUAGCCCGCGGUGCAAUGCCGCCUACUGGGACCGAGGACCGCGCUUCGGCUAGGAUGCUGGCGUAAUGGUUGUAACGA